AAAUGAAGUGAGGGUGUAUAAGUGACAAGUAGGGGAAAUUAUGGGAUACUUAAGUGCAAUUAAGCCUUAAACUACAGGAGAGACGGAAUUUUAGCUCCCCAAGAAAAAUAGCCAUAUUUCUUCUCCCGUGAUGUUCGCAUCAAAGAGGAGCCUAAGCUCAUCAACGCCGCAGCAACCUUCGGAGAAAUCGAAGGUCGAUUCUCGCCUCCUCUAUCGAACGAUGGAGGAGUCGAUCUUGAUGAAGAUAAGACGAAGGAAGGAGAAGACGGAGGAGAGGACGACGGUGGCGUUUUCGUAAAUAGAGCAACAGGGGGCCGGAGCCAGCUCGAUUUGGGGAUUGGGAGCGCAAAGGACAGUGUCCUGAUUUCUAACUGAAGAACACGAAGGCUUGCAUGAGCGCGCAGUAGCAUUCGAGGGGGCGUUCGUAAAUAAAUAAAACGCCGGUGGGUGGCCCGUGAAAUAUACACGUGUGAAAAGUCUUGUACGCGCAUGUUACGUAUCUAUCUGUUUCGUAAUGGGCGAGUGAGUGGGAGUGAUUAUGUAAUUUGCAUAAAUUUCCUUCUCUGCUUCGUGUGAAGGGUUCUGA